rnacentral:rRNA from 1 species
CCUACGGGAGGCAGCAGUAAGGAAUCUUGCGCAAUGGGCGAAAGCCUGACGCAGCGACGCCGCGUGGGCGAUGAAGGCCUUCGGGUUGUAAAGCCUUUUUCUGGGGGACGAGGAAGGACGGUACCCCAGGAAUAAGUCACGGCUAACUACGUGCCAGCAGCCGCGGUAAAACGUAGGUGGCAAGCGUUAUCCGGAAUCACUGGGCGUAAAGGGCGUCUAGGCGGUCGGGUAAGUCGUGCGUGAAAGCUUCCGGCUCAACCGGGAGAGGUCGUACGAUACUGCCUGUCUUGAGGGUCGGAGAGGGACGUGGAAUUCCCGGUGUAGCGGUAAAAUGCGUAGAGAUCGGGAGGAACACCAGUGGCGAAGGCAGCCCCCUGGGUUGACACUGACGCUCAUGCACGAAAGCGUGGGGAGCAAACAGGAUUAGAUCCCCCUGUAGU